rnacentral:lncRNA from 1 species
AGAACACGCAAACCUUUUUGUGACACCCUCAUAUCUCAUGGCCAUCUUGUCAACCCAAACAACAGCUGGUCGUUUACAUCUUUCAUUUUAUGCAGAUUUAUUGCAUGCCCACUGAGUGUUGAUGUGCUCAGUGCUGGGGAUCCUGAGACCAAUAAGACACAUUAUUUGACUGCUGGAACUUACCAUCUAGUUGGGAAAGACAUGAAGAAAUUUAGGAUGACAGAAGGGAUCUUCGUAUUUAGAAUAAUAGACAGACUGAAGAGGACUUCAACCUACGGGCAAGGAAUCCACGAAGCAGCAUCCAGCAGGGUAUUGAUACAGCCAGACUUGCAGCAAGAUGGAGAAUAAAUUGAUAGUAAGUGGCUUGCAGGAGGCCUGAGCAUAUGAUAAAACACAGUUAAAAGAGUAUAACUCUUUGAUCUAGCUUUUAUAAACUCAGGCAGAGCAUAAGAAUUCCAGACAGAUUAAGAGAAAAAAGCCCUGGGCUGAGAGAGG